GACGAACGCUGGCGGCGUGCUUAACACAUGCAAGUCGAACGGAAAGGCCCUGCUUUUGUGGGGUGCUCGAGUGGCGAACGGGUGAGUAACACGUGAGUAACCUGCCCUUGACUGUGGGAUAACUUCAGGAAACUGGGGCUAAUACCGGAUAGGAGCUCCUGCUGCAUGGUGGGGGUUGGAAAGUUUCGGCGGUUGGGGAUGGACUCGCGGCUUAUCAGCCUGUUGGUGGGGUAGUGGCUUACCAAGGCUUUGACGGGUAGCCGGCCUGAGAGGGUGACCGGCCACAUUGGGACUGAGAUACGGCCCAGACUCCUACGGGAGGCAGCAGUGGGGAAUAUUGCACAAUGGGCGGAAGCCUGAUGCAGCAACGCCGCGUGCGGGAUGACGGCCUUCGGGUUGUAAACCGCUUUCGCCUGUGACGAAGCGUGAGUGACGGUAAUGGGUAAAGAAGCACCGGCUAACUACGUG
rnacentral:rRNA from 1 species